CUUCUGUAAACCAUUCUGCGUCCCCCCCGGCCGGGGAGAAUGCGGGGAGACCGCGUUUAGAGGAUCAGUGGCGGCGGGCCCGCGCGGUGCCGGCGACUAGCAGCGAGAUGUCCUGGCCCCUUCCAGGUUUGGAGAUGGCCUUGGGAGAGCAACCUCCGGACCUCAGCAGUGUGAGGAUGACAACAGUACCCUGUGGUGCUGUCCCCACUCAGGGUUUCUCUCUGUAGCCCCGACUGUCCUGGAACUCACUCUGCAGACCAGGCUGUCCUCAAGCUCAGAGAUCUACCUGCCUCUGCCUCUGAAGUACUGGGAUUAAAGAUGCAGAGGCCUCCCAGAGAAGUGUGAAGGAAUGGGCCUUAACCAGGGUUGAAGAAAGAAAGUGAAGAAGGGGAGAGCCCAAGGAAAGGUGGGGACAGUUGGAACUUUUGUUUACACUGGUCUACUACUCAUGUAUCGUAUGCUAUAAUCUCCAAAUUCCACAUUUAUUGUAGCUGUCUGCAGUGUGUAUGCCCCGGCCGCAUGCUGCUUGGCUAAAAAAGUGUUAAAUAAAACUGUAAGAAACGCUACCAG
rnacentral:lncRNA from 1 species